AGAGUUUGAUCCUGGCUCAGGAUGAACGCUGGCGGCGUGCUUAACACAUGCAAGUCGAACGAACCUUCGGGUUAGUGGCGGACGGGUGAGUAACGCGUGAGAAUCUGCCCUCAGGAGGGGGAUAACGGUUGGAAACGACCGCUAAUACCCCAUAUGCCUACUGGUGAAACGAAUUUCGCCUGAGGAUGAGCUCGCGUCUGAUUAGCUAGUUGGUGAGGUAAUGGCUCACCAAGGCAUCGAUCAGUAGCUGGUCUGAGAGGAUGAUCAGCCACACUGGGACUGAGACACGGCCCAGACUCCUACGGGAGGCAGCAGUGGGGAAUUUUCCGCAAUGGGCGAAAGCCUGACGGAGCAACGCCGCGUGAGGGACGAAGGCCUCUGGGCUGUAAACCUCUUUUCUCAAGGAAGAAGAUAUGACGGUACUUGAGGAAUAAGCCACGGCUAAUUCCGUGCCAGCAGCCGCGGUAAUACGGGAGUGGCAAGCGUUAUCCGGAAUUAUUGGGCGUAAAGCGUCCGCAGGCGGCUUUUCAAGUCUGCUGUUAAAACGUGGAGCUUAACUCCAUCAUGGCAGUGGAAACUGAAAGGCUUGAGUAUGGUAGGGGCAGAGGGAAUUCCCGGUGUAGCGGUGAAAUGCGUAGAUAUCGGGAAGAACACCAGUGGCGAAGGCGCUCUGCUGGGCCAUUACUGACGCUCAUGGACGAAAGCCAGGGGAGCGAAAGGGAUUAGAUACCCCUGUAGUCCUGGCCGUAAACGAUGAACACUAGGUGUCGGGGGAAUCGACCCCUUCGGUGUCGUAGCUAACGCGUUAAGUGUUCCGCCUGGGGAGUACGCACGCAAGUGUGAAACUCAAAGGAAUUGACGGGGGCCCGCACAAGCGGUGGAGUAUGUGGUUUAAUUCGAUGCAACGCGAAGAACCUUACCAGGGUUUGACAUCCUGCGAACCUCUUAGAAAUUUGAGGGUGCCUUCGGGAAUGCAGUGACAGGUGGUGCAUGGCUGUCGUCAGCUCGUGUCGUGAGAUGUUGGGUUAAGUCCCGCAACGAGCGCAACCCACGUUUUUAGUUGCCAGCAUUUAGUUGGGCACUCUAGAAAGACCGCCGGUGAUAAACCGGAGGAAGGUGUGGAUGACGUCAAGUCAUCAUGCCCCUUACACCCUGGGCUACACACGUACUACAAUGCUACGGACAAAGGGCAGCAAACUCGCGAGAGCUAGCAAAUCCCAUAAACCGUGGCUCAGUUCAGAUCGUAGGCUGCAACUCGCCUACGUGAAGUAGGAAUCGCUAGUAAUCGCAGGUCAGCAUACUGCGGUGAAUACGUUCCCGGGCCUUGUACACACCGCCCGUCACACCAUGGAAGUUGGCCAUGCCCGAAGUCGUUACUCCAACCCUUGUGGAGGAGGACGCCGAAGGUGGGGCUAAUGACUGGGGUGAAGUCGUAACAAGGUAGCCGUACCGGAAGGUGCGGCUG
rnacentral:rRNA from 1 species